rnacentral:rRNA from 1 species
UACGUAGGGUGCGAGCGUUGUCCGGAAUUAUUGGGCGUAAAGGGCUCGUAGGCGGUUUGUCGCGUCGGGAGUGAAAACCUCGGGCUUAACUCGGGGCUUGCUUUCGAUACGGGCAGACUGGAGGUAUGCAGGGGAGAACGGAAUUCCUGGUGUAGCGGUGAAAUGCGCAGAUAUCAGGAGGAACACCGGUGGCGAAGGCGGGUCUCUGGGCCGAAACUGACGCUGAGGAGCGAAAGCGUGGGGAGCGAACAGG